GACGAACGCUGGCGGCGUGCUUAACACAUGCAAGUCGAACGGAAAGGCCCUUCGGGGUACUCGAGUGGCGAACGGGUGAGUAACACGUGGGUGAUCUGCCCUGCACUUUGGGAUAAGCCUGGGAAACUGGGUCUAAUACCGAAUAUGAUCAUCAGCUUCAUGGUUGGUGGUGGAAAGCUUUUGCGGUGUGGGAUGGGCCCGCGGCCUAUCAGCUUGUUGGUGGGGUAAUGGCCUACCAAGGCGACGACGGGUAGCCGGCCUGAGAGGGUGACCGGCCACACUGGGACUGAGAUACGGCCCAGACUCCUACGGGAGGCAGCAGUGGGGAAUAUUGCACAAUGGGCGCAAGCCCGAUGCAGCGACGCCGCGUGAGGGAUGACGGCCUUCGGGUUGUAAACCUCUUUCAGCACAGACGAAGCGCAAGUGACGGUAUGUGCAGAAGAAGGACCGGCCAACUACGUGCCAGCCGCCGCGGUAACAC
rnacentral:rRNA from 1 species